CCUACGGGAGGCUGCAGUGGGGAAUAUUGGACAAUGGGGGGAACCCUGAUCCGGCCAUGCCGCGUGUGUGAAGAAGGCCCUCGGGUUGUAAAGCACUUUCAGUGAGGAAGAACGCCUGGUGGUUAAUACCCAUCAGGAAAGACAUCACUCACAGAAGAAGCACCGGCUAACUCCGUGCCAGCAGCCGCGGUAAUACGGAGGGUGCGAGCGUUAAUCGGAAUUACUGGGCGUAAAGCGCGCGUAGGUGGCUUGAUAAGCCGGUUGUGAAAGCCCCGGGCUCAACCUGGGAACGGCAUCCGGAACUGUCAAGCUAGAGUGCAGGAGAGGAAGGUAGAAUUCCCGGUGUAGCGGUGAAAUGCGUAGAGAUCGGGAGGAAUACCAGUGGCGAAGGCGGCCUUCUGGACUGACACUGACACUGAGGUGCGAAAGCGUGGGUAGCAAACAGGAUUAGAUACCCUAGUAGUC
rnacentral:rRNA from 1 species